rnacentral:rRNA from 1 species
CCUACGGGAGGCAGCAGUGGGGGAUAUUGCACAAUGGGGGAAACCCUGAUGCAGCGACGCCGCGUGGGCGAAGAAGUAUUUCGGUAUGUAAAGCCCUAUCAGCAGGGAAGAAGAAAUGACGGUACCUGACUAAGAAGCCCCGGCUAACUACGUACCAGCAGCCGCGGUAAUACGUAGGGGGCAAGCGUUAUCCGGAUUUACUGGGUGUAAAGGGAGCGUAGACGGCUGUGCAAGCCAGAUGUGAAAGCCCGGGGCUCAACCCCGGGACUGCAUUUGGAACUGUGUGGCUGGAGUGUCGGAGAGGCAGGCGGAAUUCCUAGUGUAGCGGUGAAAUGCGUAGAUAUUAGGAGGAACACCAGUGGCGAAGGCGGCCUGCUGGACGAUGACUGACGUUGAGGCUCGAAAGCGUGGGGAGCAAACAGGAUUAGAUACCCCUGUAGUC